AUACGGAGGAUGCAAGCGUUAUCCGGAUUUAUUGGGUUUAAAGGGUGCGUAGGCGGUUUGCUAAGCGGGAGGUGAAAUGCCGGCGCUCAACGUCGGAAGUGCCUCCCGAACUGGUGGACUUGAAUGACUCUGCCGUGGGAGGAAUGUGUAGUGGAGCGGUGAAAUGCUUAGAGAUUACACAGAACACCGAUUGCGAAGGCAUCUCACGAAGGGUUGAUUGACGCUGAGGCACGAAAGCGUGGGGAUCAAACAGGAUUAGAUACCCUGGUAGUCCACGCAGUAAACGAUGAUGGCUAACCGCUGGGCUUAUCAGUUCAGUGGCCAAGCGAAAGCGAUAAGCCAUCCACCUGGGGAGUACGACCGCAAGGUUGAAACUCAAAGGAAUUGGCGGGG
rnacentral:rRNA from 1 species